rnacentral:rRNA from 1 species
GAUUAACGCUGGCGGCAUGCCUAAUACAUGCAAAUCGAACGAAGCCUUUUUGGCUUAGUGGUGAACGGGUGAGUAACACGUAUCCAAUCUACCCUUAAGUUUGGGAUAACUAGUCGAAAGAUUAGCUAAUACCGGAUAAUAACAUUUACUUGCAUGAGUGAAUGUAGAAAGUUGCGUUUGCAACGCUUUUGGAUGAGGGUGCGACGUAUCAGAUAGUUGGUGAGGUAACGGCUCACCAAGUCAUUGACACGUAGCUGUACUGAGAGGUAGAACAGCCACAAUGGGACUGAGACACGGCCCAUACUCCUACGGGAGGCAGCAGUAGGGAAUUUUUCACAAUGGGCGAAAGCCUUAUGAAGCAAUGCCGCGUGAACGAUGAAGGUCUAUAAGAUUGUAAAGUUCUUUUAUUUGGGAAGAACCACUAAAAUAGGAAAUGAUUUUAGUUUGACUGUACCAUUUGAAUAAGUAUCGGCUAACUAUGUGCCAGCAGCCGCGGUAAUACAUAGGAUGCAAGCGUUAUCCGGAUUUACUGGGCGUAAAACGAGCGCAGGCGGAUUUGUAAGUUUGGUAUGAAAUCUAGAUGCUUAACGUCUAGCUGUAUCAAAAACUACGAAUCUAGAGUGUAGCAGAGAGUUGGGGAACUCCAUGUGGAGCGGUAAAAUGCGUAGAUAUAUGGAAGAACACCGGUGGCGAAGGCGCCAACUUGGACUAUUACUGACGCUUAGGCUCGAAAGUGUGGGGAGCAAAUAGGAUUAGAUACCCUAGUAGUCCACACCGUAAACGAUCAUCAUUAAAUGUCGGCUCGCUUAUGAGUCGGUGUUGUAGCUAACGCAUUAAAUGAUGUGCCUGGGUAGUACAUUCGCAAGAAUGAAACUCAAACGGAAUUGACGGGGACCCGCACAAGUGGUGGAGCAUGUUGCUUAAUUUGACAAUACACGUAGAACCUUACCUAGAUUUGACAUCUAUUGCAAUGCUAUAGAAAUAUAGCGGAGGUUAACAAUAUGACAGGUGGUGCAUGGUUGUCGUCAGCUCGUGUCGUGAGAUGUUGGGUUAAGUCCCGCAACGAGCGCAACCCCUUUCGCUAGUUAAUUUAUCUAUCGAUACUGCUACCGCAAGGUAGAGGAUGGUGGGGAUGACGUCAAAUCAUCAUGCCCCUUAUAUCUAGGGCUGCAAACGUGCUACAAUGGCUAAUACAAACAGCUGCAAUACCGUAAGGUGGAGCGGAUCUGAUAAAGUUAGUCUCAGUUCGGAUAGAGGGCUGCAAUUCGCCCUCUUGAAGUUGGAAUCACUAGUAAUCGCGAAUCAGACAUGUCGCGGUGAAUACGUUCUCGGGUCUUGUACACACCGCCCGUCAAACUAUGGGAGCCGGUAAUAUCUAAAACCCGUACUGUUAACCUUUUUGGAGGCAUACGUCUAGGGUAGGAUUGGUGACUGGAGUU